CCUACGGGAGGCAGCAGUGGGGAAUAUUGGGCAAUGGGCGCAAGCCUGACCCAGCAACGCCGCGUGAAGGAAGAAGGCUUUCGGGUUGUAAACUUCUUUUCUGAGGGACGAAGAAAGUGACGGUACCUCAGGAAUAAGCCACGGCUAACUACGUGCCCGCAGCCGCGGUAAUACGUAGGUGGCAAGCGUUAUCCGGAUUUAUUGGGUGUAAAGGGCGUGUAGGCGGGAAAGCAAGUCAGAGGUGAAACCUCAGGGCUCAACCCUGAGACUGCAUCUGAAACUGUUUGGCUUGAGUGCUGGAGAGGCAAUCGGAAUUCCGUGUGUAGCGGUGAAAUGCGUAGAUAUACGGAGGAACACCAGUGGCGAAGGCGGAUUGCUGGACAGUAACUGACGCUGAGGCGCGAAAGCGUGGGGAGCAAACAGGAUUAGAUACCCGAGUAGUC
rnacentral:rRNA from 1 species